rnacentral:rRNA from 1 species
ACACGACUACAUUAGAUACCCCUGUAGUCCCAGCCCUAAACGAUGCGCGUUAGGUGUAUCGGUGACCACGAGUCACCGAGGUGCCGAAGGGAAACCGUGAAACGUGCCGCCUGGGAAGUACGGUCGCAAGGCUGAAACUUAAAGGAAUUGGCGGAGGAGCACCACAACGGGUGGAGCCUGCGGUUUAAUUGGACUCAACGCCGGGAAGCUCACCGGAUAAGACAGCGGAAUGAUUGCCGGGCUGAAGACCCUGCAUGACCAGCUG